GGCCUGGUUGAGUGGUCUGCCUUCUUGGUAGUACUGCUCUGGCUGGGUCUUACCUUCUGGUGAGCUAGUAUGCCUUUAACGGGUGUAUUAGGGAACCAGGACUUUUACUUUGAAAAAAUUAGAGUGUUUAAAGCAGGCAUCCGCUUGAAUACAUUAGCAUGGAAUAAUAGAAUAGGACUUUGGUUCUAUUUUGUUGGUUUCUAGGACCGAGGUA
rnacentral:rRNA from 1 species